rnacentral:rRNA from 1 species
UACGGAGGGUGCAAGCGUUAUCCGGAUUCACUGGGUUUAAAGGGUGCGUAGGCGGGCAGAUAAGUCAGUGGUGAAAUACCUGAGCUUAACUUGGGAACUGCCAUUGAUACUAUUUGUCUUGAAUGUUGUGGAGGUUAGCGGAAUAUGUCAUGUAGCGGUGAAAUGCUUAGAGAUGACAUAGAACACCUAUUGCGAAGGCAGCUAACUACGCAGAGAUUGACGCUCAUGCACGAAAGCGUGGGGAUCAAACAGG